rnacentral:tRNA from 1 species
GGCACUAUGGCCGAGUGGUUAAGGCGAGAGACUCGAAUAGAUUAAAAAGUUCGGCUAUCUCUUGGGCUCUGCCCGCGCUGGUUCAAAUCCUGCUGGUGUCG